CGGAGGAAAAGAAACUAACAAGGAUUCCCCUAGUAGCGGCGAGCGAAGCGGGAAGAGCUCAAAUUUAUAAUCUGGCGCUUUCGGCGUCCGAGUUGUAAUCUCUAGAAGUGUUUUCCGCGUUGGACCGCACAUAAGUCUGUUGGAAUACAGCGGCACAGUGGUGAGACCCCCGUUCACGGUGCGGAUGCCCAAUGCUUUGUGAUACACUUUCGAAGAGUCGAGUUGUUUGGGAAUGCAGCUCAAAUUGGGUGGUAAAUUCCAUCUAAAGCUAAAUAUUGGCGAGAGACCGAUAGCGAACAAGUACCGUGAGGGAAAGAUGAAAAGCACUUUGGAAAGAGAGUUAACAGUACGUGAAAUUGUUGGAAGGGAAACGCUUGAAGUCAGACUUGCUAUUCGGGGCUUGCUCCGAGUUGCAGGCCAGCAUCAGUUUUUCGGGGCGGAAAAUCACGGAUUGAAGGUAGCAGUUUCGGCUGUGUUAUAGCUUUCCGUUGGAUACGUCCUGGGGGACUGAGGAACGCAGUGUGCUUUUAGCGAGGGCUUCGGCUCUUUCACACUUAGGAUGCUGGUGGAAUGGCUUUAAACGACCCGUCUU
rnacentral:rRNA from 1 species